AUCUCCUGUUUCUGCAUCUGUCUUUUGGAGGCCUCUCUCUGAGGGCCGCCUGGCUGGCUUUCUGCCUCUUUUAUGGGAUUCUAAAAUUGUUGGCCGAUGCUCAUUCUCUUCGUUUGGCAAAACGCUUACAGCCCCUCGCUAUAUCUGAAUGGUUCCUUCUCUAAUCUGAGUUUCUGCCUUCCUGAAGCCCUAAGCCCUGAGGGAGAUACUCCGAGUCCAAAUUAGUUGUCUGGAAAUUGUUCUCUGAGGGAAAACCAUACUGCUGGCUGUGCUGGAGUCUUGUCUCAAGCAGGCUGUCAUGCUGCCUCUCAGAUGCAGAUGAAGCAUCACCAUCUACUGGCAGCUGAAAGGAUAACGGCAGAAAAAUGCGGCAGGUUGGAAAGCUUGAGCUUUACUUGGCAAGGAAUGCUGGACUCACCAAUGCCAGUUAAGAUGCUCUUCUACAAUUACCUGGGAGCAGGAUGCACGUUCCUUGAUGCCUCUUUUUACUCUGCCAAAAUCUGCUGGGAUCACCUGGCUGGAGAGAGGGAUAAGCUACAGGAUCAAGCCCUUGCUCUGGAUGCCAAUAUGUUUGGAGGCUAACAAAAAAAAACACCCCACCAACAUCCAUUUUACUAUGUAAACAUUAUGGCUUCUGCAGCAGCUGAGUGAAGGUCCUGUGCCUGCUUAGCUCUGGAGGAGUAUCACACCCAGUGUGUCAUAUACACCCCUGGGAGAGGACUCAGCUCCAUGGGGUCUUGUGGCAAGCUGAGUCCUGAGACCCAUUGAGUCCAUCACAGAUGGCAGUGCUUCCUCCCUGUUGUGUCUUUACUGUGUACAAAAUUCAAAAGAAACUGGGGGAAUGACUUGAAAAAGAAUGAUGUACUAGUGUUCUGAUGUUUGUAGCAAAAAAGAAAGUAAAUAUGGGAUCGCUUUGUCACAUCUGGAUAAGUUGGAAGUGACUGGCUGGAAUUUUACCAUGUUUCUAAAAUAUGUUGUCUUUGAAGAGAGCAGUUAAAGAGAGCUGAGGUCUAGAAAUCAUUUGGAAGCCAAGUUUUUCACAUAUAUGCUUAUGUGGGAAGUGCCAGCCAUGCUCUGCUGCCCGGGCUCUUGUUCUAGAGAGAGGAUCUGACCAGUGCUUUCAUGUAGAAUCACAGAAUCAUAGAAUGGCUUAGGUUGGAAUGGAUCUUAAAGAUCACCUAGUUCCAACCUCGACAUAGGGCAUGGCCACUUGAUUAAUGCUUACUUUGAAAAUAUGGUCCAUGGCUUUUAUCUAAACCUUCUCAUAGUGCAGUAGUUAACCUUAAAAUAGUACCACAUGCCUUGUGGGAUUUUUUAUUCCUAAUUUGAUCUUAUUUAUUUAUUUAUUUGAUCCAAAACGCAGGGAGGAAGAAUAGUCUGGAAAGUGUUGGGAUGGAUGUCUUUCUUUGGGUAUGAGAACAUGCUUCAUGUGACAUCCUAAAGCUGAGCUUGUCCACUCUGAGUAACUUUCUGGCAAUGAGCUCAUCUAUCAAGCUAUGGUUGGUGUUACCGUGACUUGUUCCUUCUAACUGAAUUAUUGUUUUCCCUGUGAAGCAAUGUCUCCACACAUGGCUUUACCCAGGUAGAUAGUCACAAGGGAGAAGGGUUUUAAACUGAAGGGGGGAAGAUCUAGAUUGGAUGUCAGGGAGAAAUUUUUCACUCAUUGAGUGGUGAGGUGCUGGAAGUGGCUGCCCAGAGAGGUUGUGGAUGCCCCAUCCCCGGAGGCAUUCAAGGCCAGGUUGGAUGAGGCCCUGGGCAGCCUGGUCUAGUACUUGAUAUGGCAGUUGGCAACCCUGCCUGUGGACGGAGAUUGGAACUUAACAAUCCUUGAAGUCCCUCUCAACUCAAGCCGUUCUAUGAUUCUAUGACUCUGUGGUUAUUUGCAAGACCUUGGAAAGCUUUCAAGCCCCAAGAACAUUUUGGAUGUUUUGGAGAUGUGGAGCGAUCUCAUUCUGUACAUGAAAGAGAAUCCAGGAAAAGCUGCUUUUUGGCAGCUCAAAAGUGCCUUAGGAACCAGAGCCCUGAUUGUGACAAAUGAUGUCAGCAUUCCAGGACACAGAAGUUUCAUUAAAUGUUGAUGCAACGUUGUUUUUCCAAACACUGAUGAGCUUCUGGAAGCUGUCCUGGAGUGCAUUUUGCUGAGUCAGUGGUGAAAUGAAGAUGCAAACUACAAAUCGCACUCUGGCAGAAAUAUAUCAGGAUUUAAGGAUUUCAUGUGAGAUUUAAAAAAAAAAAUACAUCUGUUUCUAGACAUGUCAUAAUAUUGUUACAAUAAUCCUUGAAUAAAUAUUUAGCUACUU
ensembl:lncRNA